UACAGGGGGGUGCAAACGUUGCUCGGAAUCACUGGGCGUAAAGCGCACGUAGGCGGAUUGCUAAGUCAGGGGUGAAAUCCUGGAGCUCAACUCCAGAACUGCCUUUGAUACUGAGGAUCUUGAGUUCGGGAGAGGUGAGUGGAACUGCGAGUGUAGAGGUGAAAUUCGUAGAUAUUCGCAAGAACACCAGUGGCGAAGGCGGCUCACUGGCCCGAUACUGACGCUGAGGCACGAAAGCGUGGGGAGCAAACAGGG
rnacentral:rRNA from 1 species